CGGUAAUACGUAGGGUGCGAGCGUUAAUCGGAAUUACUGGGCGUAAAGCGGGCGCAGACGGUUACUUAAGCAGGAUGUGAAAUCCCGGGCUCAACCUGGGAACUGCGUUCUGAACUGGGUGACUAGAGUGUGUCAGAGGGAGGUAGAAUUCCACGUGUAGCAGUGAAAUGCGUAGAGAUGUGGAGGAAUACCGAUGGCGAAGGCAGCCUCCUGGGAUAACACUGACGUUCAUGCCCGAAAGCGUGGGUAGCAAACAGGAUUAGAUACCCUGGUAGUCCACGCCCUAAACGAUGUCGAUUAGCUGUUGGGCAGCAUGACUGCUUAGUAGCGAAGCUAACGCGUGAAAUCGACCGCCUGGGGAGUACGGUCGCAAGAUUAAAACUCAAAGGAAUUGACGGGGACCCGCACAAGCGGUGGAUGAUGUGGAUUAAUUCGAUGCAACGCGAAGAACCUUACCUGGUCUUGACAUGUACGGAACCCUCCAGAGACGGAGGGGUGCCUUCGGGAGCCGUAACACAGGUGCUGCAUGGCUGUCGUCAGCUCGUGUCGUGAGAUGUUGGGUUAAGUCCCGCAACGAGCGCAACCCUUGUCAUUAGUUGCCAUCAUUAAGUUGGGCACUCUAAUGAGACUGCCGGUGACAAGCCGGAGGAAGGUGGGGAUGACGUCAAGUCCUCAUGGCCCUUAUGACCAGGGCUUCACACGUCAUACAAUGGUCGGUACAGAGGGUAGCCAAGCCGCGAGGCGGAGCCAAUUUCACAAAACCGAUCGUAGUCCGGAUUGCACUCUGCAACUCGAGUGCCUGAAGUCGGAAUCGCUAGUAAUCGCAGGUCAGCAUACUGCGGUGAAUACGUUCCCGGGUCUUGUACACACCGCCCGUGAAUCGGAUCCCAG
rnacentral:rRNA from 1 species